UACGGAAGGCAGCAGGGGGAAUAUUGCACAAUGGGCGCAAGCCUGAUGCAGCCAUGCCGCGUGUAUGAAAAGGCCUUCGGGUUGUAAAGUACUUUCAGUCGUGAGGAAGGUGUUAAGGUUAAUAACCUUAGCAAUUGACGUUAGCGACAGAAGAAGCACCGGCUAACUCCGUGCCAGCAGCCGCGGUAAUACGGAGGGUGCGAGCGUUAAUCGGAAUUACUGGGCGUAAAGGGCACGCAGGCGGUUAAUUAAGUUGGAUGUGAAAUCCCCGGGCUUAACCUGGGAAUGGCAUUCAAGACUGGUUAGCUAGAGUCUUGUAGAGGGGGUAGAAUUCCAUGUGUAGCGGUGAAAUGCGUAGAGAUGUGGAGGAAUACCGGUGGCGAAGGCGGCCCCUGGACAAAGACUGACGCUCAUGUGCGAAAGCGUGGGGAGCAAACGAGGAUUAGAUACC
rnacentral:rRNA from 1 species